AGGUAAUAGAGUUUGACUAGGUAACUAAAUCCUAACUAAUCUAGGUAACCGAAUCAUACUAGAAUCCUAAUAUUACAAGAGUUCUAUAAUAUAAUAUUCUCUAACACACCCCCGCAGUCGAAACGUGUGACGAACGUGAAGACUGGACAAUCACUUGCUAGCACGCUCCCGCAGUCGGAACGAAUAAACUUCAAAAGUGAAGACUGGACAGAAACAGCGAAACACAACGCUAGAGAAU
rnacentral:lncRNA from 1 species